AUAAAAAUCGGUUUUAAACCCAUUAUUCAAAUAGUGCAUCACUUCUCCUUUAUCUUCAUUCAACUUCAUUUUCAUUGAAAUCUUUCAAUUCUCAAACAUCAUACAGCCACAAAGUUGCCUUCAUUUUCCUAAGCUCUCCAUAACACUAUUCCUUUUAUAGUGUAAUCCUUUUAAGAUGAAUAUUGGGAUAUGUUUGGGUUCAUUAAGCAAUCCUCAUUCUUUCUAAUGUUUGUGGUUUUUUGCAUCAACAAUUUAUGUUUUAGGGCAUAAAGGUUAAGUAAUUUUUCUUUUUGCUAAAGAUUUAAUUGUUAUUUCAAAACGGAUUUGUCCUC
rnacentral:lncRNA from 1 species